rnacentral:rRNA from 1 species
AUGGUACCACAGCCUCCCCGGGCCACAGACCGUCGUGUGGAUCGCCAACCGAGACAGCCCAAUCAUCAACACCCUUCGUCCAUGAUGCUCAAGGUAACUAACAAUUCUCGCAUGGUAUUAUCAGACUCCGAAGGCCGUAUUAUUUGGAUGGCAGGAAGCAAUGUCACUUCUGGGGCGCCAGGAGCUUAUGCAGUACUACUCAACUCAGGGAACUUUGUCCUCCGGUCUUCGGGCGACCAGGACAUAUGGUUGAGCUUUGAUCAUCCGACCGACACCGUCCUUCCAAACAUGAGAUUUUUGGUGAGCUAUAAGGCACAAAUCGUCACACGUCUUGUUGCUUGGAAGGGCCCCGAUGACCCAUCUUCUGGGGACUUCUCAUGCAGCGGCGACCCAAGAUCCCCAGACCUUCAGUUGGUAACGUUGAACAAGGCUAGGCUAUAUUGUCGUAUCAUUGUGUGGGACGGUGUGUCGGUGUCCGGCCGCACACUUCUAACCAACACUAGCUCCACAUUGUACCAAACAGUUGUCAACUCUGGAGACGAGUUCAGUUACACGUUCGCCGUCUCCAACAACUCACCGUUCAUGCACAUCAUGCUUGACUACACUGGCAAGUUGAAGGCUCUAGGCUGGGACGAUCACUCCAUGUCAUGGACAGUCAUCAAUGAGCACCCCAAUAGUGCUUGCGAUCUCUACGCCUCUUGUGGCCCGUUUGGCUAUUGUGACUUCACCAAGGCCAUUCCAACAUGUCAGUGCUUUGAUGGGUUUGAGCCCGUCGACAGUACUAACUCUUUUAAAGGAUGUCAGAGAAAAGAAGCGCUGAAUGCAGCAAGAAAAGUCAUUUCGCGUCUUUUCCUCGAAUGA